GAUUAAGUUAUUAAGGGCGCACGGUGGAUGCCUUGGCACUAGAAGCCGAAGAAGGACGUUACUAACGACGAUAUGCUUUGGGGAGCUGUAAGUAAGCGUUGAUCCAGAGAUUUCCGAAUGGGGAAACCCAACAUGAGUUAUGUCAUGUUAUCGAUAUGUGAAUACAUAGCAUAUCAGAAGGCAGACCCGGAGAACUGAAACAUCUUAGUACCCGGAGGAAGAGAAAGAAAAAUCGAUUCCCUGAGUAGCGGCGAGCGAAACGGGAAGAGCCCAAACCAAUAAGCUUGCUUGUUGGGGUUGUAGGACACUCUAUACGGAGUUACAAAAGUAUAUAUUAGACGAAUCAUCUGGAAAGUUGAAUCAAAGAAGGUAAUAAUCCUGUAGUCGAAAAUAUAUACUCUCUUGAGUGGAUCCUGAGUACGACGGAGCACGUGAAAUUCCGUCGGAAUCUGGGAGGACCAUCUCCUAAGGCUAAAUACUCUCUAGUGACCGAUAGUGAACCAGUACCGUGAGGGAAAGGUGAAAAGUACCCCGGAAGGGGAGUGAAAGAGAACUUGAAACCGUGUGCUUACAAGUAGUCAGAGCCCGUUAAUGGGUGAUGGCGUGCCUUUUGUAGAAUGAACCGGCGAGUUACGAUUUGAUGCAAGGUUAAGCAGUGAAUGUGGAGCCGUAGCGAAAGCGAGUCUGAAUAGGGCGUUGAGUAUUUGGUCGUAGACCCGAAACCAGGUGAUCUACCCUUGGUCAGGUUGAAGUUCAGGUAACACUGAAUGGAGGACCGAACCGACUUACGUUGAAAAGUGAGCGGAUGAACUGAGGGUAGCGGAGAAAUUCCAAUCGAACCUGGAGAUAGCUGGUUCUCUCCGAAAUAGCUUUAGGGCUAGCCUCAAGUGAUGAUUAUUGGAGGUAGAGCACUGUUUGGACGAGGGGCCCUUCUCGGGUUACCGAAUUCAGACAAACUCCGAAUGCCAAUCAAUUUAACUUGGGAGUCAGAACAUGGGUGAUAAGGUCCGUGUUCGAAAGGGAAACAGCCCAGACCACCAGCUAAGGUCCCAAAAUAUAUGUUAAGUGGAAAAGGAUGUGGCGUUGCCCAGACAACUAGGAUGUUGGCUUAGAAGCAGCCAUCAUUUAAAGAGUGCGUAAUAGCUCACUAGUCGAGUGACACUGCGCCGAAAAUGUACCGGGGCUAAACAUAUUACCGAAGCUGUGGAUUGUCCGUAGGACAAUGGUAGGAGAGCGUUCUAAGGGAGUUGAAGCAUGAUCGCAAGGACAUGUGGAGCGCUUAGAAGUGAGAAUGCCGGUGUGAGUAGCGAAAGACGGGUGAGAAUCCCGUCCACCGAUUGACUAAGGUUUCCAGAGGAAGGCUCGUCCGCUCUGGGUUAGUCGGGGCCUAAGCUGAGGCCGACAGGCGUAGGCGAUGGAUAACAGGUUGAUAUUCCUGUACCACCUAGUAUCGUUUUAAUCGAUGGGGGGACGCAGUAGGAUAGGCGAAGCGUGCUAUUGGAUUGCACGUCCAAGCAGUAAGACUGAGUGUUAGGCAAAUCCGGCACUCAUAAGGUCAAGCUGUGAUGGGGAGAGGAAAUUGUUUCCUCGAGUCGUUGAUUUCACACUGCCAAGAAAAGCCUCUAGAUAGAUAACAGGUGCCCGUACCGCAAACCGACACAGGUAGUCAAGAUGAGAAUUCUAAGGUGAGCGAGCGAACUCUCGUUAAGGAACUCGGCAAAAUGACCCCGUAACUUCGGGAGAAGGGGUGCUCUUUAGGGUUAACGCCCAGAAGAGCCGCAGUGAAUAGGCCCAAGCGACUGUUUAUCAAAAACACAGGUCUCUGCUAAACCGUAAGGUGAUGUAUAGGGGCUGACGCCUGCCCGGUGCUGGAAGGUUAAGAGGAGUAGUUAGCUUCUGCGAAGCUACGAAUCGAAGCCCCAGUAAACGGCGGCCGUAACUAUAACGGUCCUAAGGUAGCGAAAUUCCUUGUCGGGUAAGUUCCGACCCGCACGAAAGGCGUAACGAUUUGGGCACUGUCUCAACGAGAGACUCGGUGAAAUCAUAGUACCUGUGAAGAUGCAGGUUACCCGCGACAGGACGGAAAGACCCCGUGGAGCUUUACUGUAGCCUGAUAUUGAAAUUCGGCACAGCUUGUACAGGAUAGGUAGGAGCCUUUGAAACGUGAGCGCUAGCUUACGUGGAGGCAUUGGUGGGAUACUACCCUAGCUGUGUUGGCUUUCUAACCCGCACCACUUAUCGUGGUGGGAGACAGUGUCAGGUGGGCAGUUUGACUGGGGCGGUCGCCUCCUAAAAGGUAACGGAGGCGCUCAAAGGUUCCCUCAGAAUGGUUGGAAAUCAUUCAUAGAGUGUAAAGGCAUAAGGGAGCUUGACUGCGAGACUUACAAGUCGAGCAGGGUCGAAAGACGGACUUAGUGAUCCGGUGGUUCCGCAUGGAAGGGCCAUCGCUCAACGGAUAAAAGCUACCCCGGGGAUAACAGGCUUAUCUCCCCCAAGAGUUCACAUCGACGGGGAGGUUUGGCACCUCGAUGUCGGCUCAUCGCAUCCUGGGGCUGUAGUCGGUCCCAAGGGUUGGGCUGUUCGCCCAUUAAAGCGGUACGCGAGCUGGGUUCAGAACGUCGUGAGACAGUUCGGUCCCUAUCCGUCGUGGGCGUAGGAAAUUUGAGAGGAGCUGUCCUUAGUACGAGAGGACCGGGAUGGACAUACCUCUGGUGUACCAGUUGUCGUGCCAACGGCAUAGCUGGGUAGCUAUGUAUGGACGGGAUAAGUGCUGAAAGCAUCUAAGCAUGAAGCCCCCCUCAAGAUGAGAUUUCCCAACUUCGGUUAUAAGAUCCCUCAAAGAUGAUGAGGUUAAUAGGUUCGAGGUGGAAGCGUGGUGACACGUGGAGCUGACGAAUACUAAUCGAUCGAAGACUUAAUCAA
rnacentral:rRNA from 1 species